rnacentral:rRNA from 1 species
GACGUAGGGGGCAAGCGUUAUUCGGAAUUAUUGGGCGUAAAGCGCUCGUAGGCGGGACAGGAAGUCCGUGAAGAAAGACCUGGGCUCAACUCAGGGACCGGCACGGAUACUCUUGUUCUUGAGGCAAUCAGAGGGUGAUGGAAUUCCCGGUGCAGCGGUGAAAUGCGUAGAUAUCGGGAGGAACACCAGUGGCGAAGGCGAUCACCUGGGGUUGUUCUGACGCUGAGGAGCGAAAGCUAGGGGAGCAAACGGG